UAUUCAUUUACUAGCUACUUUAUGUACUCUUUUAGUAGUACCGUGAUCCAUUGACCAUUACAUCAUUAUGCAAGUGUUGAAGCUUUGGCAGAACAACUUCACUGGUUCAAUUCCUUCAAGGCUUGGAUAGAAUGGUAAAUUAAUUGAACUUGAUCUUUCAACAAACAAGCUCACAGGACUAGUUCCAAAGUCUCUUUGUUUUGGUAAGAAGCUCAAGAUUCUGAUUUUGCUCAACAACUUUCUCUUUGGAUCUUUGCCUAAUGAUCUUGGUGAAUGCUACACUCUUGAGAGAGUUAGAUUGAGACAGAACUACUUAACAGGUUCAAUACCAAAUAGAUUUCUCUAUUUGCCUCAACGAUCUCUUUUGGAACUUCAGAACAAUUAUCUGAGUGGUUUUCUUCCAAGAAGCACUGAUGCACCUUCAUCAAAUCUAGGACAGUUGAAUCUUUCCAAUAAUCGUUUAUCCGAGACCCUGCCGGCUUCAAUCGAAAAGUUUCCUGAUUUGGAAAUCCUUCUUAUUUAUGGAAACAGAUUCUCAGGUGAAAUUCCACCAAAUAUAGGCAAGUUAAAGAGUGUUCUCAAGAUGGAUUUGAGUGUUAACAACUUUUCAGGACUUCAAUGAAGAUGGGAUGCUUUUACUGUCUAAAUUUUUUUUAUCUAAUCAAUGCUUUUGGCAAUCAAUUAGCAACCAGCAAGGAUGCACUUUAGAGGGUAGAGUAAAGGAUAAAGGAUCCACAAAGGACAGCCAAACAACUAGCCAAUGAGGCAUUGAACAGAGACAGCCACUGAGGCAUUGAACAGAGACAGUAAAGAUGUUUUGAAUGCAGAGUUUAUGUUUUGAAUUAUAAUUGAUGUAUCAAUACACUUUGUUG